rnacentral:rRNA from 1 species
GAUGAACGCUAGCUACAGGCUUAACACAUGCAAGUCGAGGGGCAGCAUGAACUUAGCUUGCUAAGUUUGAUGGCGACCGGCGCACGGGUGAGUAACACGUAUCCAACCUGCCGAUGACUCGGGGAUAGCCUUUCGAAAGAAAGAUUAAUACCCGAUGGCAUAGUUCUUCCGCAUGGUAGAACUAUUAAAGAAUUUCGGUCAUCGAUGGGGAUGCGUUCCAUUAGCUUGUUGGCGGGGUAACGGCCCACCAAGGCAUCGAUGGAUAGGGGUUCUGAGAGGAAGGCCCCCCACACUGGAACUGAGACACGGUCCAG